AUAGAUACGUGCAGUUCGACUCUUUUUGGUAUCCCAAGGGCCCCACACAAGGAACGAUGACAUGGACACCCGUCAACACCUCGUUCCCUCACGGUUUCAAAUACCUCUACCAAAAGACCGGUCUGCCCAUCGUCUGUCACAACAGAUUCUGGGACGGAAAGACGCCGUAUGCGAAAUAUAAUGGUGGAAGGUGGAACUUCAUCUUGGACGAAAAGUCUACUUA